rnacentral:rRNA from 1 species
AUUGAACGCUGGCGGCGUGCUUAACACAUGCAAGUCGAUCGGUAACAGGUGUAGCAAUACAUGCUGACGAGAGGCGGACGGGUGAGGAACGCUUGGGAAUCUGCCUAUCAGCGGGGGACAACCCGGGGAAACUCGGGCUAAUACCGCAUACGCUCUACGGAGGAAAGCCGGGGACCGCAAGGCCUGGCACUGAUAGAUAAGCCCAAGUCGGAUUAGCUAGUUGGCGGGGUAACGGCCCACCAAGGCGACGAUCCGUAGCUGGUCUGAGAGGAUGAUCAGUCACACCGGAACUGAGACACGGUCCGGACUCCUACGGGAGGCAGCAGUGGGGAAUAUUGGACAAUGGGCGCAAGCCUGAUCCAGCAAUGCCGCGUGUGUGAAGAAGGCCUUCGGGUCGUAAAGCACUUUAAGCUGGGAGGAAGGGCUCAUAGCGAAUACCUGUGAGUUUUGACGUUACCAACAGAAUAAGCACCGGCUAACUUCGUGCCAGCCGCCGCAGUAAUAC